AAAGCACUUGGAUAAAUUUUUCUGUCAACACUCAAAGUUGCAUAAACUCCUUAUUUUUACUUUUCCAAAUCCAGUAGGAGUUUCUCUGCCAGUUAUAGGGAAAUAUAUAGAAGGCGGACAUAUCAGGUGCUUCUCUUCCAAAUAAGCUUUCCUUGUGGCUUACGCUGUUCUUCACUUGGAUUUGAACCCGAUCAGCGGCUUUCCUUUCACCAAAGGAUCUUAUUUUUGUAAUUUGUCGGACUUUGCAAGAAUUGUGAUAUUCUCAGCCAGCCCUUUCUUCAUAAGGCAAAUACACCAGAGAGCUUGCUCCCUGUCUCCACUGUUGUGAGGACUUAGUGAGAAGGCAGUGGUCUACAAGCCAGGAAGUGGACCUUCACCAGAACCCGAACAUGCUGGCACCCUGAUCUCAGACUUCCAGCCUCCAGAACUAUGAAAAAUAAAUUUGUGUUGUUUGAGCCUCCCAGUCUAUGGUAUUUUGUUAUGGCAUCCCAAACUGAAUAAUAACACCUUCUAAAAUUUUGGGGGUAAUUUUUCACACAUUUCCAAAUUAAUAUUCAAAAUUUUCUAUCAUAAGUUUAAAUAGUUGCAAAG
rnacentral:lncRNA from 1 species